rnacentral:rRNA from 1 species
AGCAGCCGCGGUAAUUCCAGCUCCAAUAGCGUAUAUUAAAGUUGUUGCAGUUAAAAAGCUCGUAGUUGAAUUUCGGGAUCAAAUUGUCGGUCGUGCCUCGGUACGUACUGGUAUUAUUGGUUCCUCCCUUCUGACGAACCACGAUGUCAUUAAUUUGGUGUCAUGGGAAAUCAGGACUGUUACUUUGAAAAAAUUAGAGUGUUUAAAGCAGGCAUACGCUUGAAUACAUUAGCAUGGAAUAAUGAAAUAGGACGUUCGAACCUAUUUUGUUGGUUUCUAGGAUCAACGUAAUGAUUAAUAGGGAUAGUUGGGGGCAUUAGUAUUCAAUUGUCAGAGGUGAAAUUCUUGGAUUUAUUGAAGACUAACUACUGCGAAAGCAUUUGCCAAGGAUGUUUUCAUUAAUCAAGAACGAAAGUUAGGGGAUCGAAGACGAUCAGAUACCGUCGUAGUCUUAACCAUAAACUAUGCCGACUAGGGAUCGGAUGAUGUUAAUUUUUUAAUGACUCAUUCGGCGCCUUAC